rnacentral:rRNA from 1 species
CAUGCAAGUCGAGCGAGAAAAUGGCUUCGGCCAUGAGUACAGCGGCGGACGGGUGAGUAAUACAUGGAUAAUCUGCCUUUAGGACUGGGACAACCCUGGGAAACUAGGGCUAAUACCGGAUAAGACCACAGAAUCUGCGGAUUCAGUGGUAAAAGGUGGCUUUCGGGCUAUCACCUAGAGAUGAGUCCAUGUCCCAUCAGGUUGUUGGUGAGGUAACGGCCCACCAAGCCUAAGACGGGUAGCCGGCCUUAGCGGGUGAUCGGCCACACGGGGACUGAGACACGGCCCCGACUCCUACGGGAGGCAGCAGUGGGGAAUAUUGGACAAUGGGCGCAAGCCUGAUCCAGCAAUACCGCGUGAGGGAUGAAGGCCCUAGGGUUGUAAACCUCUGUCAGUUGGAACGAUGGGUUUGUAGGUUAAUACCCUGCAAACUUGACGGUACCUUCAAAGGAAGCCCCGGCUAACUCCGUGCCAGCAGCCGCGGUAAUACGGAGGGGGCAAGCGUUGCUCGGAAUUACUGG